CCCUUAGAUGUUCUGGGCUGCACGCGUGCUACACUGAUAUUGCCAAUAUGUCAUUCUUAUCCGAAAUGGAUUGGGUAAUCAAGUAAUGAAAUUUCAUGCUUGGAAUCGGUAAUUGCAACUUUAUCGUGAACGAGGAAUUCCUAGUAAGCACUAGUCAUCAGCUAAUGUUGAUUAUGUCCCUGCCCUUUGUACACACCGCCCGUCGCUACUACUGAUUGGGUGUUCAAGUGAGAUGCUUAGACCCUUGUUGCAUGGUUCAUUAUUGUGCUCCGAAAGGAAAAAGUUUCAAGCUUGAGUGUCUAGAGGAAGUAAAAGUCGUAACA
rnacentral:rRNA from 1 species